rnacentral:lncRNA from 1 species
CUGACUUUGGCUCAGGUUGUGAUCUCAUGGUUUGUGAGUUCCAACCCACACCGGGCUCUCUGCUGUCAGUGCAAAGCCUGCUUCGGAUCCUCUGCCCCCUUUCUCUCUAGCCCUCCCCUGCUCAUGUGCGCUCUCUCAAAAAUAAAUACACAUUAAAAAAAUUAAUGAAGAAAAAAAAAACUAAGAAGAGAGACUGGCACUAAGUCACUUUAGAGUCUUGUCCCUUACCAGGGGUACCACAAAUUGGCCCAGAAGGGUCCAAACAGCUUAAUUGGCCAAACUGCAAUAAAAGAGGACUCCCAGCAUGCAUUCUGGUGGAAUUACCCUGCCGUGGAGCCUAUUAGCUCAUCCCAGUUCACGUUUCCUUUCCACCAACAGGAAGUGACGGGAGGCAGCUGAAGCUGAGCAGCGGCAAGAAAGGAGAUUCCCCCAAACAAAAGUAUCUGCAGCUGUUUGGGACCAUCCUUAAAAUCAAUAACCAUGAGCAGCUGUCUCCCUGACAUCAACAUCACUAACUCAGGAAACCAAUGGUGGGCUCAGGGGUGCUGCUGCGAAUAUCUGCUCUCUGUAACCUGGGAACAGAGUUGAAAACCUUGGAAUGUAUGUCCAACAGUGAGAUAUCGAUGAUCAAGACAAAAGAAGUGACUGGUGAAUAUAAAUUACUAAACUGUAACAUGGAAGAAAAAAAACAAACAACCAAAGGCUUGCAAAAGACAUCAGUGAAAACAGAAUAAAGGUAAAUCUGAAGAUAAAAGAAAACAUAUGAAAGCUAGCUUUUGGUAUCCGGUUUGCUUUUCUUUAAAAAAAAAAAAAAAUCCAGUUUAGUCUCUUCCUAGUUUUGCAUUUCAAAAAGGUGCACCAAAACACUGAUAUUUUUUUUUCCUAGCUAAAUCUGUAAAACAAGAGAAGUAUAUAAAUCAAAGAACAGAAGGGCUUAAAAAGGGGAGUAUCUGAAUAAAUGUGUGUAUUAAAAUGUGU